rnacentral:rRNA from 1 species
AUUCCAGCUCCAAAAGUGUAUAUUUAAGUUGUUGCGGUUAAAAAGCUCGUAGUUGGAUCUUGGGCGCAGGCGGCCGGUCCGUCGCAAGGCGUGAACUGGCUGCACCUGGCCCUCAUCCCCGGCACUCCGCCGGUGCCCUUGACUGAGUGUCGGCGGCGGCCGGGACGUUUACUUUGAAAAAAUUAGAGUGUUCAAAGCAGGCGGCUCGCCUGAAUAAUGGUGCAUGGAAUAAUGGAAUAGGACCUCGGUUCUAUUUUGUUGGUUUUCGGAGCGCGAGGUAAUGAUUAAGAGGGACGGACGGGGGCAUUCGUACUGUGCCGCUAGAGGUGAAAUUCUUGGAUCGGCGCAAGACGAGCGACUGCGAAAGCAUUUGCCAAGAAUGUUUUCAUUG